GGUAUUAAGAUUUUAAUCUUUGGGAUCCAGCCAAACUUGACGGCCACUAUGGGGUAAUGUCUUCUCAAGACGAAUGCCCCACAGUCUGCACCGUGGUCGUUACAGCUAUUUCCUGGUGUGGGCAAAUGCCAUGCAACUAAGUCACAAGGACGAGUGGUCGAAUAUAAGGGAGAAAAAGGCCGAUAAGCAUGGAUCACCUACAACUUCCUCAGGAAAAGUUUAACCAAGAAGUGAACUCUGCUGUGACUGAUGCCAAACAAAUGACUCCAACAGGUGAAGGCUACAUUUUGGCUUGUUUCUUCAGUCCCUUGCGAUGGGAAGGAAGUCCAGUGUUUGACAGAGCAGAACUCAUGCCACGGCAUCCAGGAAGCAGAGAGAACCUCUGCACUCUAGGGGCUAUCUGCUUUUCCUGGGACUUCGUUGGGGGCUCCAACCUUACACUGGGGGUGGAUCUUCACCCCUUAGAUUUCCUUUUCUAGGAAUGCACCCUGCAGCCCCUACAGAUGCCUGAGAAGUGCCUUUUGCUAACCUCAGGCACUCCUCAGUCCAGCCAAGUUGAUAAUUAAGAUUAACCAUAAGCCUUUGUCAAACUCACACCCAAGCAUAUCUCCCUAAACAAUAACACUCUGUUCCUGGCCCUGAAAAGGGUCAUGCCCUUCCCAUAAGGCAAAGUGCACGCAGUUCAUCUCCGUGGGGUCUCACAGUCUUAAUGGUUCCAAGGACCGUCCAAGUCUCCUCUAGGAGUCCAGGCAACUUCUCAGCUGUGAUCCCCAGUAACAACAAAACCAAGUUACGUGUUCCCAAGACGGCGGCACAAAGUAGACUUGCCCUUUUGGGAUUGGAAAGGAGCAAAGGGAAACGGAACCAAAGCAAGACCAAAGCCCAGCAUGGAAAACGCUAAAUCCUGGCAGCUCUCUGCCUGGCGUCCUGGUCAUGUGGUGCUGAUAUGUAACCUCCAGCAGAUGUCAACAGCUGGCCUCUGUGGUCUGGUCAGUCUCAGCCCACGUGGCGUGUCUUUGACUGACUCUGUUUGCUGCCUGUGGCUUUUUGGUGAUAGACAUUCUAAGCUCUUGACCUUUUCAACAUCCCAGGGGUCCUCACCCUUACAGCAUCACACAUCAUCCUUGGGGUGGGGGGCUGUCUUUAGGGACUCUCACCCUGUCGUGUGCAGCCUGUUCUCCCAAACCUUGCUUUGAGAUCUGUGAGAGAGCCUUCAUGAGCUGACAGCUCUGCAAAACCAGCACCACAGGACAUCCCUAAAGUUUGCCACCAGCUCCAGCGGUAGCUAAACCCCGC
rnacentral:lncRNA from 1 species